rnacentral:rRNA from 1 species
UCCUACGGGAGGCAGCAGUGGGGAAUCUUGCACAAUGGAGGAAACUCUGAACCAGCCAUGCCGCGUGAAGGAUGACGGCCCUAUGGGUUGUAAACUUCUUUUGAAUAGGAAGAAACUUAUCUACGUGUAGAUAACUGACGGUACUAUUAGAAUAAGGAUCGGCUAACUCCGUGCCAGCAGCCGCGGUAAUACGGAGGAUCCAAGCGUUAUCCGGAUUCAUUGGGUUUAAAGGGUCCGUAGGCGGGUCUUUAAGUCAGUGGUGAAAGCCGACAGCUCAACUGUCGAACUGCCAUUGAUACUGGAGACCUUGAGUACAAAUGAAGUAGGCGGAAUGAGUCAUGUAGCGGUGAAAUGCAUAGAUAUGACUCAGAACACCGAUUGCGAAGGCAGCUUACUAACAUGUAACUGACGCUGAGGGACGAAAGCGUGGGGAGCGAACAGGAUUAGAUACCCUGGUAGUCCACGCCGUAAACGAUCAUCACUCGCUGUUGGCGAUAUACUGUCAGCGGCCAAGCGAAAGUAUUAAGUGAUGCACCUGGGGAGUACGCCGGCAACGGUGAAACUCAAAUGAAUUGACGGA